UAAUUCCUGGGAGAGAUUCUAAAGACUUUUGAGAAAAGUUAUGGGAAAGAAUGAGAUGAAAAUUAUUGGAAUGACGAUCAUGGUUAUGUUGAUCUUCGUACAAGCUGAUUACUGUUAUGCAUCAAUGAAAACUCAGCCAGACAAGCUUACAUGUCCUGCACAAUGUGGCAUAGAUUGUUUAGUAGCUAACAUUGGCUAUCCAAUAUGUUUUGCUAUUUGUGUUGCAAAAUGCCGUAAAACAGCGACAAUCGAUAAAUACGAUUGUAUUACUGGUUGUGGUGUGAACAAAUCUAUUACCGUCAAUAUUGAUGCUCAUGGUUUUGUAUCUUAUGUGGAGGAUUCUUGCUUGCAAAAGUGCCAAAACAAGUCAUAAUAUGUUUACAAGAAUGCUGAAGAAUAAGGCUGCUAAGAGAAUCAAUACUCACGAAUGAUUGUAAAUAAACAAAUAUUAAUCGAUGAGUAAUAUCAAUCUAAUUUUAAAAAAAUAAAACUAGUUCUGAGAACA